rnacentral:rRNA from 1 species
GAUGAACGCUAGCGGCAGGCUUAAUACAUGCAAGUCGAACGGUAAGGUCUCUUCGGAGAUACACGAGUGGCGCACGGGUGCGUAACGCGUAUGCAACCUACCUUUAACUGGGAAAUAGCCCCGAGAAAUCGGGAUUAAUGUCCCAUAUUAUUCUCUGAUAGCAUUAUCGGGGAAUGAAAGCUCCGGCGGUUAUUGAUGGGCAUGCGUGACAUUAGCUAGUUGGGGAGGUAACGGCUCACCAAGGCAACGAUGUCUAGGGGUCCUGAGAGGGUUAACCCCCACACUGGUACUGAGACACGGACCAGACUCCUACGGGAGGCAGCAGUAAGGAAUAUUGGGCAAUGGACGCAAGUCUGACCCAGCCAUGCCGCGUGAAGGAUGACUGUCCUAUGGAUUGUAAACUUCUUUUAUGCAGGAAAAAUAGCCUGGUCGUGAACCGGGUUUGAUGGUACUGUAUGAAUGAGCAUCGGCUAACUCCGUGCCAGCCGCCGCAGUAA